rnacentral:rRNA from 1 species
CCUACGGGUGGCAGCAGUGGGGAAUAUUGCACAAUGGGGGAAACCCUGAUGCAGCGACGCCGCGUGAAGGAAGAAGUAUUUCGGUAUGUAAACUUCUAUCAGCAGGGAAGAAAAUGACGGUACCUGACUAAGAAGCCCCGGCUAACUACGUGCCAGCAGCCGCGGUAAUACGUAGGGGGCAAGCGUUAUCCGGAUUUACUGGGUGUAAAGGGAGCGUAGGCGGUUUAGCAAGUCAGAAGUGAAAGCCCGGGGCUCAACUCCGGGACUGCUUUUGAAACUGUUGAACUAGAGUGCAGGAGAGGUAAGUGGAAUUCCUAGUGUAGCGGUGAAAUGCGUAGAUAUUAGGAGGAACACCAGUGGCGAAGGCGGCUUACUGGACUGUAAAUGACGCUGAGGCUCGAAAGCGUGGGGAGCAAACAGGAUUAGAUACCCCGGUAGUC